rnacentral:rRNA from 1 species
GCGUCUCAGCAAUGGUGGGAGCGGCGAACGGCGUAGUAAGACGUAGGAACGUACCCUCGGGACGGGGAUAGCUAUGGGAAACUGUAGGUAAUACCCGAUAAUCUCUGCGGAGCAAAGGUGUGAUUCCGCCUGGGGAGCGGCUUACGCGAUAUUAGCUAGUUGGUAGGGUAAUGGCCUACCAAGGCGAUGAUGUCUAGGGGGUGUGAGAGCAUGGCCCCCACGACCGGAACUGAGAUACUGUCCGGACACCUACGGGUGGCUGCAGUCGAGAAUCUUCCGCAAUGGACGAAAGUCUGACGGAGCGACGCCGCGUGCGGGAUGAAGGCCCUUGGGUUGUAAACCGCUGUCAGAGGGGAUGAAAUCUUCGGAGGUACUCCUCCGAAGUUGACAGAGCCUCAAAGGAAGCACGGGCUAAGUACGUGCCAGCAGCCGCGGUAACACGUACUGUGCGAACGUUAUUCGGAAUCACUGGGCUUAAAGGGUGCGUAGGCGGCAAUUCAAGUCAGAUGUGAAAUGCCUGAGCUCAACUGAGGCAUUGCGUUUGAAACUGAAUCGCUAGAGUAUCCCAGGGGUGUGCGGAACUGCCAGUGGAACGGUGAAAUGUGUUGAUAUUGGCAGGAACACCGGAGGCGAAAGCGGCACACUAGGGGAUAACUGACGCUGAGGCACGAAAGCCAAGGGAGCGAACGGGAUUAGAU